AGCAGCCGCGGUAAUUCCAGCUCCAAUAGCGUAUAUUAAAGUUGUUGCAGUUAAAAAGCUCGUAGUUGAAUUUCGGGAUCAAUACGUCGGUCGUGCCUCUGGUAUGAACUGGUGUUAUUGAUUCCUCCUUUCUGAUAAACCAUGAUGUCAUUAAUUUGGUGUUGUGGGGAGUCAGGACUGUUACUUUGAAAAAAUUGAGUGUUUAAAGCAGGCCUACGCUUGAAUACAUUAGCAUGG
rnacentral:rRNA from 1 species